rfam:Cavia porcellus supercont2_72 genomic scaffold, whole genome shotgun sequence.
GGGGAUUUAGCUCAGUGGCAUAAGCGCCUGCCUUGCAAGCAGGAAACUGUGAGUUCGAUCCCUA